UACGGAGGGGGCUAGCGUUGUUCGGAAUUACUGGGCGUAAAGCGCGCGUAGGCGGCUUUGUACGUUAGAGGUGAAAGCCCGAAGCUCAACUUCGGAAUUGCCUUUAAGACUGCAUCGCUAGAAUCGUGGAGAGGUAAGUGGAAUUCCGAGUGUAGAGGUGAAAUUCGUAGAUAUUCGGAAGAACACCAGUGGCGAAGGCGGACUUCUGGGUUGUUACUGACGCUGAGGUACGAAAGCGUGGGGAGCAAACGGG
rnacentral:rRNA from 1 species